rnacentral:rRNA from 1 species
ACGGGUGUGUAACACGUGGGAACGUACCCUUUUCUACGGAAUAACCCAGGGAAACUUGGACUAAUACCGUAUGUGCCCUUCGGGGGAAAGAUUUAUCGGAAAAGGAUCGGCCCGCGUUGGAUUAGCUAGUUGGUGGGGUAAAGGCCUACCAAGGCGACGAUCCAUAGCUGGUCUGAGAGGAUGAUCAGCCACAUUGGGACUGAGACACGGCCCAAACUCCUACGGGAGGCAGCAGUGGGGAAUAUUGGACAAUGGGCGCAAGCCUGAUCCAGCCAUGCCGCGUGAGUGAUGAAGGCCUUAGGGUUGUAAAGCUCUUUCACCGGAGAAGAUAAUGACGGUAUCCGGAGAAGAAGCCCCGGCUAACUUCGUGCCAGCAGCCGCGGUAAUACGAAGGGGGCUAGCGUUGUUCGGAUUUACUGGGCGUAAAGCGCACGUAGGCGGAUCGAUCAGUCAGGGGUGAAAUCCCAGAGCUCAACUCUGGAACUGCCUUUGAUACUGUCGAUCUGGAGUAUGGAAGAGGUGAGUGGAAUUCCGAGUGUAGAGGUGAAAUUCGUAGA